rnacentral:rRNA from 1 species
AUUGAACGCUGGCGGCAGGCCUAACACAUGCAAGUCGAACGGUAACAGGAAGAAGCUUGCUUCUUUGCUGACGAGUGGCGGACGGGUGAGUAAUGUCUAGGAAACUGCCUGAUGGAGGGGGAUAACUACUGGAAACGGUAGCUAAUACCGCAUAACGUCGCAAGACCAAAGAGGGGGACCUUCGGGCCUCUUGCCAUCGGAUGUGCCCAGAUGGGAUUAGCUUGUUGGUGGGGUAACGGCUCACCAAGGCGACGAUCCCUAGCUGGUCUGAGAGGAUGACCAGCCACACUGGAACUGAGACACGGUCCAGACUCCUACGGGAGGCAGCAGUGGGGAAUAUUGCACAAAGGGCGCAAGCCUGAUGCAGCCAUGCCGCGUGUAUGAAGAAGGCCUUCGGGUUGUAAAGUACUUUCAGCGGGGAGGAAGGGAGUAAAGUUAAUACCUUUGCUCAUUGACGUUACCCGCAGAAGAAGCACCGGCUAACUCCGUG